GACGAACCGUGCGAACGUUAUUCGGAAUCACUGGGCUUAAAGCGCGUGUAGGCGGGUCGGCGCGUCGGUCGCUGAAAUCCCCCGGCUCAACCGGGGAAGCGGCGCCGAUACGGCCGGCCUGGAGGGACGUAGGGGGGGCUGGAACUUCCGGUGGAGCGGUGAAAUGCGUUGAGAUCGGAAGGAACGCCCGUGGCGAAAGCGAGCCCCUGGACGUCUACUGACGCUGAGACGCGAAAGCCAGGGGAGCGAACGGG
rnacentral:rRNA from 1 species